CUACGGGGUGCUCCAGUGGGGAAUAUUGGACAAUGGACGAAAGUCUGAUCCAGCAAUGCCGCGUGAAUGAUGAAGGCCUUAGGGUUGUAAAGUUCUUUAAGUAGGGAAGAUAAUGACGGUACCUACAGAAUAAGCACCGGCUAACUCCGUGCCAGCAGCCGCGGUAAUACGGAGGGUGCAAGCGUUGUUCGGAAUUACUGGGCGUAAAGCGCGCGUAGGCGGUUUGGUAAGUUGGGAGUGAAAUCCCGGGGCUUAACUCCGGAAUUGCUUUCAAAACUACCAAGCUAGAGUGUGGCAGGGGACAGUGGAAUUCCUAGUGUAGAGGUGAAAUUCGUAGAUAUUAGGAGGAAUACCGGUGGCGAAGGCGACUAUCUGGCCAAAUACUGACGCUGAGGUGCGAAAGCGUGGGGAGCAAACAGGAUUAGAUACCCUAGUAGUC
rnacentral:rRNA from 1 species